rnacentral:lncRNA from 1 species
CAACUUCCCAGCAACAGACCUACAUUGAGCUCUUAACGUAGCAUUAUUUCUCAAAGAUCUCAACUACUUACUUGGUGGGAUCAGAGUCUUGCUUUGUCACUCAAUCUGACAUUCAGUGGCACGAUCAUGGCUCACUAUAACCUCAAACUCCUGGGCUCAAGGAUCCUCCCACCUCAGACUCCCAAGUAGCUGCUCUACAGGCUCCUGGAAGAUGACGGCAUCUGAUGAAGUGCUCUGGUGCUUCCAACUAUAUCAUCAUUCUGUUAGAAAACCAAACACAUGAAGAGCCCAAUCAACACCCUGGGAGAACGAGGCAUCUCAUGUGAACCCCCAUCAAAGUGCGAAGCCUCAGAAUUAUAAUUAAGAAGAAGACUUUGAGGACUUCCUUCUUAUUCCUCCCUUUGUAUGGAUAUGAUGCCUGGAGGUAGACCACAUGGCUUUCUUCAUGAGGACAAAAGACCUACACAAAACAUGGUUGUGCAGAAAGUUAGAAGGAUCCUGAUUCAUUUACAUUAUGAUUGAGCUACCAGAAAAUUUCUAGACACUCUACCCUUAAAUUUUUGUUGUGCAAGACAAAUAAAUCUGUUUUGUAAAAACCA